AGCUCCAAUAGCGUAUAUUAAAGUUGCUGCAGUUAAAAAGCUCGUAGUUGCAUUUCCGAGGCAAGGGAUUAGUCCGACCUUUGGUGGGUAUUUAAUCCUCUUGCCUCGUCCUUGUGUGGUGCUUCUUGGUAUUAAGUUAUCGAGGAGAUAGCCGCUCAUCGUUUACUGUGAGAAAAUUAGAGUGUUCAAAGCAGGCUUAUGCCGUUGAAUAUAUUAGCAUGGAAUAAUAAGAUAGGACCUCGGUACUAUUUUGUUGGUUUGAGAACCAAGGUAAUGAUUAAUAGGGACAGUUGGGGGUAUUCGUAUUCAGUUGUCAGAGGUGAAAUUCUUAGAUUUACGGAAGACGAACUACUGCGAAAGCAUUUACCAAGGAUGUUUUCA
rnacentral:rRNA from 1 species